rnacentral:rRNA from 1 species
CCUACGGGAGGCAGCAGUGAGGAAUAUUGGUCAAUGGGCGGGAGCCUGAACCAGCCAAGCCGCGUGAGGGAAGAAGGUACAGCGUAUCGUAAACCUCUUUUGUCAGGGAACAAAGGCGGGGACUAGUCCCCGGAUGAGGGUACCUGAAGAAAAAGCAUCGGCUAACCCCGUGCCAACAGCCGCGGUAAUACGGAGGAUGCGAGCGUUAUCCGGAUUUAUGGGGUUUAAAGGGUGCACAGGGGGCCUGUUAAGUCAGCGGUAAAAGCCCGGGGCUCAACCCCGGCGAGCCGUUGAAACUGGCUGGCUGGAGUUGGAGAGAAGUACGCGGAAUGCGCGGUGUAGCGGUGAAAUGCUUAGAUAUCGCGCAGAACCCCGAUUGCGAAGGCAGCGUACGGGCUCCACACUGACGCUGAGGCACGAAAGCGUGGGUAUCGAACAGGAUUAGAUACCCUAGUAGUC